AUGUCCAGUUUUGGGCCUCCCACUACAGGAAAGAUACUGGUGGACUGGACUGAACUCUGCAGAGGGUCACCAAGAUGGUUGGGGCUGGAACCCUCACUCCAUGAGGAGAGGUUGAGGGAGCAGGGCUGGUCCAGGCUGGGACAGAGAGGGAUGUGGGGGGAGUUCACCACAGCGCCAGCAUUGUGGGGAGCUUGGCAAGAAAUCAGAGCCGGGCUCUGCAUAGCAGUGAGUAGCAGGAGAGUGAGACACACAUGGAAGAAGGUGGAACAAGAGAGGUUCAGGCUGGGUUUAAUUGGAGUUUUUGACACAAAACUGGGAGGAGUGGCUGAUACACCAGAGGGCUGUGCUGCCAUUCAGAGAGACCUGGCCAGGCUGGAGAGGUGGGCAGAGAGGAACCUCAUGAAAUUCAACAAAGGCAAGKGCAGGGUCCUGCACCUGGGGAGGMAUAACCCCCUGCACCAGUACAGGUUGGGGGUUGACCUGCUGGAAAGCAGCUCUGUGGAGAAGGACCUGGGAGUGCUGGUGGACACCAAGUUAAGCAUGAGGCAGCAAUGUGCCCUUGUGGCCAAGAAGGCCAAUGGUAUCCUGGGGUGCAUCAGGAAGAGUGUUGCCAGCAGGUCGAGGGAGGUGAUCCUCCCCCUCUACUCAGCCCUGGUAAGACCACAUCUGGAGUACUGCAUCCAGUUCUGGGCUCCCCAGUACAAGAGGGAUGUGGCACUACUGGAGCAAGUCCAGCGAAGGGCUACAAAGGUGAUUAGGGGACUGGAGCAUCUCUCUUAUGAGGAAAGGCUGAGAGAGCUGGGCCUGUUUAGCUUGGAGAAGAGAAGGCUGAGAGGAGAUCUUAUCAACGUGUACAAGUAUCUGAAGGGAGGGUGUCAAGAGGAUGGGGCCAGACUCUUUUCAGUGGUGCCCAGCGACAGGACGCGAGGCAACGGGCACAAACAGAAACACAGACAAUUCCAUCUGAACAUGAGGAAAAACUUCUUCACUGUGAGGGUGACAGAGCACUGGAACAGGUUGCCCAGAGAGGCUGUGGAGUCUCCUUCUCUGGAGAUAUUCAAAACCCACCUGGGCACGAUCCUGUGCAAUGUGCUCUAG
rnacentral:lncRNA from 1 species